rnacentral:rRNA from 1 species
UAGGGAAUCUUCCGCAAUGGGCGAAAGCUUGACGGAGCAACGCCGCGUGAGUGAUGAAGGUCUUCGGAUCGUAAAACUCUGUUAUUAGGGAAGAACAAAUGUGUAAGUAACUAUGCACGUCUUGACGGUACCUAAUCAGAAAGCCACGGCUAACUACGUGCCAGCAGCCGCGGUAAUACGUAGGUGGCAAGCGUUAUCCGGAAUUAUUGGGCGUAAAGCGCGCGUAGGCGGUUUUUUAAGUCUGAUGUGAAAGCCCACGGCUCAACCGUGGAGGGUCAUUGGAAACUGGAAAACUUGAGUGCAGAAGAGGAAAGUGGAAUUCCAUGUGUAGCGGUGAAAUGCGCAGAGAUAUGGAGGAACACCAGUGGCGAAGGCGACUUUCUGGUCUGUAGCUGACGCUGAUGUGCGAAAGCGUGGGGAUCAAACAGG